rnacentral:rRNA from 1 species
GAUGAACGCUGGCGGCGUGCUUAACACAUGCAAGUCGAACGGAAAGGCUCCUGCUUGCAGGGGUACUCGAGUGGCGAACGGGUGAGUAACACGUGGGUGAUCUGCCCUGCACUUCGGGAUAAGCCUGGGAAACUGGGUCUAAUACCGGAUAGGACCACAUUUUGGAUGGUGUGGUGGAAAGUUUUUCGGUGUGGGAUGAGCUCGCGGCCUAUCAGCUUGUUGGUGGGGUAAUGGCCUACCAAGGCGUCGACGGGUAGCCGGCCUGAGAGGGUGUACGGCCCCAUUGGGAGAGGGGAAGGGCCCGGGCCCCAUAGGGGGGAAGGAGGGGGAAAAAUGUCAAAAGGGGCGGAAGCCGUGAGCAGGGACCGCGGGUGGGGAAGGACGGCCUUCGGGUGUGAAAAUCCUUUGGCUAGGAACGAAGCGCAAGGAAGGGAACCGGGGAAAAAAGAACCGCCAAAUUCGGG